UGUGAUAUCCUCAGCUUGGAAAGGUUCUGGAUCGUCCUGCACGUACUCUCCUGACUCCACGUAUUCGGUCUCCGCUCCCGGUGCUACCCAACACAAGAAUAACAGCCAAUGAACAGCAGAACCACAACAUGCAACAAUCACAAGAAGCAUGAGAUGAAAGUUGAGCAUGCACCACUAUUUCUAACCCUAGCGCAAGCAAGAUAAACUACAACAAGUUCCUGGACAGAACUUUGCACUAAACUAUUUGGACAUGCAUGGGAAUGAUAUGAACAGAUGCAUCUCGUAAAAACGGUGCAAAACCAUAUAAGGAACUUUGCAAACGGAGCUACGGAACAACGGGAAUCAACGAAACAGGAUAUGAAGCCCUACGUGAAAGAUUCAUCACCACACACACAAUUGGCACAAAUCUGGUGUUCCCAGGUUGCCAAGACAUAUAUUAACCCAACAUGAAUGAAAUGGAGCAAGGUAGAACACCCCAACAACAAUUGAACACAAACUUUGAACAAAAAGUCAAAACUACGCAAUCUGCCAGUUUCUGCAUCUUAGCUGUUUGUGAGCAACAUGCAACAUAGCUACAGGUCUUCAAACAUGACAAAUAAUAUAUGUGGCUGUUUCCAACCAAGGACUAUACAAUCUCCAGCAAGAAUCACAGCAAAAGGAAUUAAACUCUAGAAGAUACAAGGCCACAAACUUUCCCAAAACCAUCAGUUCUCAGGGACUUAGUGAAAAUUCCUGCACCUGAGUUUCUGUUUCUGUUCUGAAGCUUUUUGACAGCAAUCAAAACACAAGCUACUGGACUCCAAAUGACUUGAAAAUUGACAGGAAGCUUCAAAACCAUACCAGGUUCAAAACACUAGCACUGAACUAAGUCCAGUUCUUAACAGAAUGACCAGCACAACCUUAUCUACAGGGGAAGAAAAUGUUCUCAGCAUUCCAGACUUAGUGAAAUUUUCAGAGUUCAAAAAUCUGGAAUUUUCCAGCCACAUGCCCACUUUGUCUAGGCAUAGUUUGCACACACAAGUUCCCAAGAGGUGUUUGACACCACUAUGGUAUUGAGCACAAACCCCUACAACUAGCACACCAAGACCCAUGCCUUUGGGCUCCAUCUAUAUCAUGGAAACAAAGCCCAAACUUUCAACAAUAACGAAAAUGCAAAUCCACAAGGUAUGCUUUUAAGAUGACAAUUACCUAGGAGAGUUUCAUGUGCACAAUGACAAAGUGACAUGGGGGUUUGAACCCCAUGUUUGUGUCAUGCACAUCAACAACUCCAACACCACAAUUCCUCUCAAGCACUAGCAUCAAGCUCACACAUAAGAAAUCUUUAUCUAACAAGAGAGUAGGCACACCCCCCCACAUAUGGGUAUGUGAUGGUGCACACUCUCACAAGCAUCACUAGAAUCUUCCUAGUAUUCAUGUCACCAUAAUUAUGCAAACUACCACAACAAACCACACCCUCACAUGCUAACAUAAAUAGCUAUCUAGUGCUACUCCUCAUCUCAAGACAUGUGAUGAGGGGGAGGCAUCCACACCCCACUAUAUCAAGGCAAGCUAAUAAACUACAAGAUCCCUUAGCCCACACUAAAGUUCACAAGCUUGGGGCUAUACAAGAGUAGCUAGUGACUCUUAUCACCUCAAAGCACAACUCACACCAAGGCCAAGGCAUCUAACAUCAUCCACUUAACAAGGUUAGCUCCACUUUUCCAAGGUGCACCCACCAAAACCAUCACAAGUAUAGCAAGAUCACACAUCACCUCUUAGUGUGCAAGACACACACAAUACUAAAUCUACCCUAUCUAUUUUAGCAGGAACUAAAUCAUCCCCACUGUGUAAGAGGGUUAGAAUUCACAAGAAAUCACAAAGACUAACAAACCACUUUGUAUGGAGUUAGGGAAACAGAAAUUAAAAGGCAGGAAAAGAAACAGAAAGCAAAAAAAAAUAGGCCAGGGGCUGCUGGGAUUCGAACUCAGGCCCCCUGGUGUCCAGCACCACUGUCUCACCACUGCGCUGCUGCACCAGAUUUGGAUAAGAGAAAGGAAAAGGCAAGGUAACCUACCUACACGAAUGUUCAAAACAAAGAAUAAAAAGGCGCCGAGGGGGGGACUCGAACCCACGCCCUCCUACAGGCGCUAGAAUAAGCCAGCACAACACUACCAUCGGGCUACGGAUCGGGAACUGGUUAGACAAGAAGGUAAAAAUAGAAAAACACUCCUCUCACGAGAAGUAUCCCGCCGGCGGCCGGAGCCGAGGACGCUGGCGGCGCCACUCCCGGCCACCACCGGUAGGGGAAACCGUCGGCGGGGCCCGCGGGACUCCCGGGGGAUCCAUUUUCGCCCCGAGCACGGGAGAAGGUGCCUCCUUGGCUGCCUUGAACUGCAGCGGUGUUCCUGCUACGCUGCACCGUCCGCCUGGGAGCACGGGACAGAGAGCUCCGGGCGCACCACCCUGCGGGAACUGCUGCGCUGCUAGGCUACACGUCUGCUGCCGGCUGCUACUACGAACACGCACGCACAUAACUCGCCCAGCUACUGCACCGCACGCACUGUUGCCGACCUACUGAUAGGGAAGAAAACCGAAGCAUCACGGCGACUCCGGCCGACCCAAGGAGGAAGAAGCACAGGGGCGACGUGCAGCCUCACCUUGGGGCGAAGAGGGGGCGCCGAACCGACGGAGAGGAAGCCGGACCGGGGAAGGAGACGCUGAAGAAGUUCCUCCGUCGUAGACCGAAGCAGGGAAGGAGACGCCCGGUUCGCCCCGUUGACGAGGACGAGCUCGACGGGGGGGGGGGGGUCGCUCCUCGGGGUCCUAACGCCGGGAAUGGGACGCGGGGAGCCGCCCCGAGCCCCCGGACAUGGCGGCCGUGCUGCCCGACGAUGCACGCGGGGGUAGGCGCCGGCGACUCUCUCUUCUCUGCUACUUCUACAGAAACUUACCAGGGGAAGAAAAGAGAGAAGGGGGAAGGUGGCGGCGCUGGGGAGAAGGAGAGGGAACCCUAG
rnacentral:lncRNA from 1 species